CAGUCGCCACGGUAAAACGUAGGGUGCAAGCGUUAAUCGGAAUUACUGGGCGUAAAGCGUGCGCAGGCGGUUUUGUAAGACAGAGGUGAAAUCCCCGGGCUCAACCUGGGAACUGCCUUUGUGACUGCAAGGCUGGAGUGCGGCAGAGGGGGAUGGAAUUCCGCGUGUAGCAGUGAAAUGCGUAGAUAUGCGGAGGAACACCGAUGGCGAAGGCAAUCCCCUGGGCCUGCACUGACGCUCAUGCACGAAAGUGUGGGGAGCAAACAGGAUUAGAGACCCCCGUAGUCCCUGCCUCUUAUAC
rnacentral:rRNA from 1 species